GACGAACGCUGGCGGCGUGCUUAACACAUGCAAGUCGAACGGUAAGGCCCUUCGGGUACGACGAGUGGCGAACGGGUGAGUAACACGUGGUGAUCUGCCCUGCACUUCGGGAUAAGCCUGGGAAACUGGGUCUAAUACCGGAUAGGACCAUGGACUUCACGGUUUGUGGUGGAAAGCUUUUGCGGUGUGGGAUGGGCCCGCGGCCUAUCAGCUUUGUUGGUGGGGUAAUGGCCUACCCAAGGCGACGACGGGUAGCCGGCCUGAGAGGGUGUCCGGCCACACUGGGACUGAGAUACGGCCCAGACUCCUACGGGAGGCAGCAGUGGGGAAUAUUGCACAAUGGGCGCAAGCCUUGAUGCAGCGACGCCGCG
rnacentral:rRNA from 1 species